rnacentral:lncRNA from 1 species
CAACAGAGAGGAUCUACCCUGAUUACAUAGGAAAGGAAACUUAUAAACCCUUAAAAAGCAGGAAUCUAGCUCAUGUGUGAGGUAGAUGAAACAAGAGAUGCAGUGUCCCUUGCAGACUCUGAAAAGUCACAUUGUUGGCAAUCAAAAAGUUUUCAUUGAACGGGCAUUUGUGUAGUCGUUCUAAGAUAUUUUUUAAGUUUAUGCCCCAACUUUAUUCUAUGAAUUGCAUUCACAUCUUCUUAACUCUAAGGAAUAGUGCAGAGCCCUAUAAUAAAUAUUUGUGCUCUGAAAAUAAACUUUCACCAUGAGAAAUUCCUUUACUUGCAGAGCAAAGAUCCUAUAUAUGUAUUCAGCUAAACAAAGACUUGAGCCAUUGCAGCCACUGUGUGCUUCUUAAGGAAUGCAUUUUGAGGACGAGUAUAUGGCAGCUUCGUGGGAGCCCGUCCUGUCCUUAACAGGGAUGAAAAGUGGAGAAAGUACUAACUGCCAGAAAGGCAGAGAGGAAGAAACGUGGAACAUGAAAUAGAUGUGUUACUAUGUAGCAUUUACAUUACAGCAGCA